UAGGGAAUAUUGGACAAUGGGGGCAACCCUGAUCCAGCCAUGCCGCGUGAGUGAAGAAGGCCCUCGGGUUGUAAAGCUCUUUUGUCCGGAAAGAAAAGCUUCGGGUUAAUACCCCGGGGUUCUGACGGUACCGGAAGAAUAAGCACCGGCUAACUUCGUGCCAGCAGCCGCGGUAAUACGAAGGGUGCAAGCGUUACUCGGAAUUACUGGGCGUAAAGCGUGCGUAGGUGGUUGUUUAAGUCUGAUGUGAAAGCCCUGGGCUCAACCUGGGAAUGGCAUUGGAAACUGGGCAGCUAGAGUGCGGUAGAGGGUAGUGGAAUUCCCGGUGUAGCAGUGAAAUGCGUAGAGAUCGGGAGGAACAUCAGUGGCGAAGGCGACUGCCUGGACCAGCACUGACACUGAGGCACGAAAGCGUGGGGAGCAAACA
rnacentral:rRNA from 1 species